rnacentral:lncRNA from 1 species
AAGAUCCUUACAGAAUGACAGAGAGUCAGCAUCGGAGAGAACAUGACAGUGGAAGCAGGGGAAUUGCUAGCCUUGGAGAUGCAAAGAUAAGUGGUCUUGAGAUGCUGGGAAAUAAUAAGGAACAGGGCCUCCCCAAUAACCUCCAGGGAUGACACAUCCAUGCCCAAAAACUGCUUUCAGCCCAUUGAGACCCGUGCUAAACUCCACACCUCCAGAACUGUAGUGGGGCAAACCUGUGUGGUUUUAGGUGGUGGUUUGUUACAACAGCUACUAAUAUCAAUCUGGGGGAAGACUUAGGGUGUUACUCCAUAGUUCUGGCAGCCUAGGACUCCUGAGCCCACGGGUAAAAGACCUGUAGGGAUUUGAGCUUUACAAAAAAAAAAAAAAAAAAAAUCGCCUGAUGUGAAAUCACUAAGUUUUAUAUCAGGGGAAAAGGAAUUAGUUGCUUUCCAGUAUCAUGACAAGAAACCCAAGAAAACAACUUUAAGAGGCAGAGUUUAUUUUGUCUCAUGGUUUCCUGUUCAGCACAUAGUCAGGUGGACACAUAGUCAGUCAGCUGGACACACAGUUAGCUGGACACAUAGUCAGCUGCUUCCAUUGUUAUGAGUCCAUGCUUUGACAAAGCAUCCUGGCAGGAAGGGCAUCAGGAGGUACAGUGAAAUAGAGAGAGCUGUUACUCAUGAUACCGAGGAAACAGAGAAGAGAAAGAGAACAGGGGGAAAUGAAUACUUCAAAAGCACAUGGCUCCAAAGACAUAAUUCCUCUGGCAAGGCCCCAUAUUCUAAUAAUCAGUAUGAACUCACCAGUGGAUUUACCCAUCAACGUAGUUAGUACCUUCAUGAUGUAAUGUCUUCUCAAUAGCUAUAUCAUCUGGGGCCCAAACCUUCACAACAAGCUCUUUGGGAGGACAUCUCAUAUCCAAAGCACAGAAGACACUGCGGAACUAACCCACUAGGAAGAUGAAUCAGUAUGGAGACUAGACUGGAGGAAUUUGUUCUGACAAAUGUACUUCUAUCCAAGCCUAGAUGGGUCAGUCUCUGGGUGGAGCCUCCUGAUGUAAUCAAGUGGUGCAGAAAUGGUUCCAGAAGCCAGACUCUUAGAGAGCUAAAUCCAACAAGUUGGAUGUUGGCAGAACCAUGGAGAGUCUCGAGGGACAGCCUGCUUCUAUACUUAUCUCCAGGCUCCUGAGCUGUGUUCCUUGACCCCCUGCCUCACCUCCACCUUCCAAGCCAGCACUGUAGCAUCUUCC